rnacentral:rRNA from 1 species
GACGAACGCUGGCGGCGUGCCUAAUACAUGCAAGUAGAACGCUGAAGAGAGGAGCUUGCUCUUCUUGGAUGAGUUGCGAACGGGUGAGUAACGCGUAGGUAACCUGCCUGGUAGCGGGGGAUAACUAUUGGAAACGAUAGCUAAUACCGCAUAAAAUUGAUUAUUGCAUGAUAAUUAAUUGAAAGAUGCAACUGCAUCACUACCAGAUGGACCUGCGUUGUAUUAGCUAGUUGGUGAGGUAACGGCUCACCAAGGCGACGAUACAUAGCCGACCUGAGAGGGUGAUCGGCCACACUGGGACUGAGACACGGCCCAGACUCCUACGGGAGGCAGCAGUAGGGAAUCUUCGGCAAUGGGGGGAACCCUGACCGAGCAACGCCGCGUGAGUGAAGAAGGUUUUCGGAUCGUAAAGCCCUGUUGUAAGAGAAGAACGGGUGUGAGAGUGGAAAGUUCACACUGUGACGGUAUCUUACCAGAAAGGGACGGCUAACUACGUG